GCUUUGGGGGUUGAGUUGGCUGAGACUUGAAGUAGAAGUGCCAGGACACAAAUAAAGCCAACCUACAGUAUAAAACAUGGCUUUCAAACCAUAGCUUGCUAUUCUUUAUUUUCCCGUUUCCCCCCGCAACUAUGUGAUUCAGAAACCUCCCCUUUUUUCGAUCCUUCUGCAGCCACAAAACACCCUGCAGUCCCAACCCAAAUGAAGGAUUGGAAGUGAGGGGACCUCCUGGCCUUUUGUACGGUCCUCCGGCAGGUAGCUCACACCGCUUCCUUUGGGAAUGAGUACUUCCUACCUGUUGUCUUGCAGUUUGCUGAUUCACAGUUCAGACAUGAAACCAUCUGUAAAUAUUAGCCUAUAUAAUUUGUAGUGAUAUUAAACAAAGUGGUGAGAAUCCUGCUUAAGGAAAAAAAAAUUAAUGGCUUUCCAUAUGGUUCAGAAAAGCUUAACACAUACUAGUUAGCAUAGUGUAGGAACAACACAGUUCUGACUCAAUUUAGCUGUAAAAAUGAAGACUUAGUGAAACAUUAAUUUUCCAAAAUUACGGAGUAUUUUAAUGUGAUUGUAAUUGCCCCUUUGUGCUUUUAAUUUAUUAACAUUGUUAUAACAAAUUAUAACUCAUUGUAACCAAAUGCUUUAGACAUUAAAGAACCAGGCUGGUAUGCUGGCAUCUCGAUAUAAAGGCAAUCUCUGUAUAAUGCAAUCACAGAGUAUCCGUUCUGAUUUACUUGGAAUAACUUACGCUAAUUCUAAUAUUCCUUCUGCAUAGGUAUUGUUACACUUCUGUGUCUCAGGCUGUAUUUCAUGUGUUCACAUACAAGCUUUGUGUGAUGUGUUUCCGUGGGGAGCUGCACCUAGGCUCAGGACAGCCAGAAGAUCUGGAUCAUGUACAAACCAGGCACAGCAAGCUAGUAAAAUGGACAGCCUGGGCAGCAACAUCAUUCACUUUCUCAUACCAGAGCACCCAUUUUGGACACAGAAUGAAAGAAGCAUAUUCAGCCUUUAUGACGCUGAGACCAUUAGCAGUGUUGCUAUUUGAGGGAGGAAGGACAAUAGCCAUUCCAGCUUUCUCUUGGAGUGACCAUUCCCAAAAACAACAGGACAGAAGUGAUUCCAGACCACUUUUUCUGCUGACGUCAGUUACUGUCUGCUAG
rnacentral:lncRNA from 1 species